GUAGGGUGCGAGCGUUGUCCGGAAUUAUUGGGCGUAAAGGGCUCGUAGGCGGUUUGUCGCGUCGGGGAGUGAAAACACACAGCUUAACUGUGUGCUGGCUUUCGAUACGGGCAGACUAGAGGUAUGCAGGGGAGAACGGAAUUCCUGGUGUAGCGGUGAAAUGCGCAGAUAUCAGGAGGAACACCGGUGGCGAAGGCGGUUCUCUGGGCAUUACCUGACGCUGAGGAGCGAAAGUGUGGGGAGCGAACAGGAUUAGAUACCCUGGUAGUCCACACCGUAAACGUUGGGCGCUAGGUGUGGGGCCUAUUCCAUGGGUUCCGUGCCGCAGCUAACGCAUUAAGCGCCCCGCCUGGGGAGUACGGCCGCAAGGCUA
rnacentral:rRNA from 1 species